CAGGCCUACGUGAUUAUCAAUCUACCUCUCAUUCUAUAUCUUGAGAGGGUAAUAAAAUGAUAGUCAAAAGGGGGCAAGGGAAAGGGCCUUGAGCCUUUACUAAGACUGUAUCAGCCUUGGUCCCAGGAGCAACUCACAGAAGCGUUGUGUUUCUUGCUUUCCCUGCAGUUGCUCUGCUCAAUGGUCCCACGUCUUUCUGAUUAAUUUUAAUCCUAGAGGAGUAAUUAUUUGACACCUAAAUAUUCUUUCUUGCCCAAAGGAAGUAGAGAAGUUUUUUCAGAUUAACACAUCUUGGCGGAAAAUGGACAAAGUUGGCCAUGAAAUGUGAGUAAACUCUUUAAAUGCAUGACUGGUAAGCUGUUCAAACAACCCAUGUAAUAUGUAUCCCCUUUCAGGUGAGGAAACUGCAAAUGACUUGUCCCAGGACACACAGCAUGUGGGUGAUAGGGUCAGGACAACGUACUAUCAUGUCACAACCCAUUUGAUAUACUACCUGAUUCUGCCAGGAAUUCUGAAAAUACUGGUAACUUGUCUUAGUUGGAGCUCACGGGAUCUUCGUGGCCAUGUGCGGGAUCUUAGUUGCCCGGUGUGGGAUGUUUGUUGCCACGUGCAAGGUCUUGGUUGAGGCAUUCGGGAUCUUUGUGGAGGCAUGCGGAAUCUUUGUUGCAGCUUGCUGGAUCUUCGUUACGCAUGCGGGAUCUUUGUUGUGGCAGAGUCAUGAAAUGUCCCUGGAGUUAAAACUGCCCAACUUCCCAGGAGAAAUCCAGAGAGGCUGUCAGCACCCACCCCAACCCUGCUCCCCAGCCCCUCCAUGGACUCCCCUCAUCCCUCCCCAGCCUGUGGAGGAGAGGGACACAGAAUGGCCUUGUCUGAUGUUGAAGGUUUCUGAAAUGUUUCUGUCGAGGAGGAGAACAUAAGGCGCGCUGUGAUGCCAGGUCAGGUCUUGGAACUCAGAGGCUGCAUUUCUCUUUCUCUAUCAAUCUCAUAACGUUGUGGUGAGAAUUAGAAAGAUAUAUUUGUUAAAUGCUUUGUGCAUGUAUUGGCCGAGUAAGCUUUUAAUGAAUAUCAGAUCUGAUAACAGUAAGAGUAAUACUAUAAAUAUGUAAGUUAUUUAAUUAUUAUUAAUAAUUAUUAAUUUACAACAGUGUAAUGGGGAAAUGACUUGGUAUUCAUGAAAAGAGAUUGGCUUCAGUAACUCACUAUGUUGCUGUGUGAUCUUGGGCAAGUCACUUCACCUCUCUGAGCCACAGAUUCUUUCUUUGUAAGAUAAGAUGAUGGUAUCUGCCUUAAGAAAUCCCCAGGUAUGGACCCUUUUGAGGACCAUGUUGAUUAGGCUGCUAAAGUUCUUUGCACACCAUUUACCAAAGCAAAUUGUCUAGAAGCACGUAGAGUUUUAGUUUCCUUAGCUCCGGACUACUUUUUAAAUGUGUUGUCUACUGUAGAAAAGAAAGGAACAAACAGCAUUGAUGAAGUGUCCCCUUCUAGAAGUCCACCCUCAGGAAGUUCCCCCAGUGCCAGAGGAGAGUCACAGUCUCUCUUCCAAAUAGGUCUCCUUCUUCGUCAGAGGUAACCGAAAGCCCUCUUGCUUCAGUGAUUGACCUUACCCCGGUCCUGCCCUUUUCCCACCCCACGUUGCCAUUAUUUGACCCCCUGGUCAAAGAAGCUAAGUGUUAACUGUCAUAUAGCUCACUAUUAUUCUUAUUACAAGGACUGACUUUGCAGGGCGAAGGAAUAUGUCUGUUGCCUCCGCUGCUUCCACAGCAACCCCACGACGUGGGCAGCACGGGUCUCAUAUGGCACCUGAUGAAACCGGGCUCUUGGAGAUUUCUGGCCCCAGAUCACAAAGUUAGGAAAAGGGAGAUGUGAGAUGCAAACUUAGGUCCUCCAAUCUCAAAACCACUGGUGGAGAGACCAGAAUGGGAAGAGGAAUGUUGCAGGUGAUCUUCCAAGUUCCCCUGAGAUCCACUCCAGCCCCUGAGAUCCACCCAGGCAGGCAGCUCUCCUGUUGGUGAAGCCAGAAAAUCAGGGUGUGUCCCCCAGAUGGAGAUAUUCUUCACCCAGCUCACCAUUCUCAUGGACCAGUGCCAGGUAAAGAGCUUGUGUCCAUAGAGCUGAGAUGCUCUUCAAGGGAUGCAGGAAGUGGCCCUGUGUUACACCUGUCUUCUGAGGUAGGUGGGGGUGGAAGGGAGUGAAGGGCAUUGAUCCCCUGAUGUGAUGUUACCUGCAGGAGGCUGAAAAUGAGGACCUGAGCUAACACACUGCUGUUCAUUUCUGUCCUUUGAUUUGCUCUCAUCCACCCACUGACCGGCCAUCACGUGCCAUGCACUGCUCUAGGUGCUGGGAUGCUCCGUGAGGAACAAAUCAGACAAAUAUUCCACGUGUGGAAUCACAAUCUGUGUUUCAACAAGACCCACAGGCAGAGUCAAGUUUGAGAAGCGCUGUUACUGGGCAUUUGGCCCCAGCAGGCAGAGGCAGGAAGCCUGGUUAUGUGGGAAGAUUUCUAGGAACAGCACUGACCCCAGAUCAUCUCCUCCUCACUUACCACCUUAUCGCCUGUUCCCACCCCUCAGGUGGGGUGUCAGAAGCUGUGUCAGCCCCCUGCUCUCCUCAGAAGCCCUCCUGCAA